rnacentral:lncRNA from 1 species
UAUACACAUACUGGAGCAGCUGGGAUUUACUAGUGCCAGGAUCACCACAGAGAAGAAUGUUGAUCUCUGCACGGAAGUUGCCUCUUCCUGUGUGAGUGAAAUCCUUUCUUGAUCCUCCAAAGAGCUGAAGUAGAAUACCCUUUUUGAUAUCUUCAUGCUCAUAGAUACUCGGGGCCAGUGCUGAAGAAAGUCUCUCAUAUAUGUCUGCUUUGGUAGACAGCUCC